CUUCAUGUGUUCAUUUCAUUCAUUCAGGGACAAAAACAUUAAAUGAUUUGAUUUCAUAAAAACAAUAAAAUGUUGUGGAGAAACAGAAUUUAUAAUCUCUGAUUAAAACUUUAAAUAAAACAGAAAAUAAUCCAGAAUAAAACCAUCAAAAUCUCCACUGGAUGAUGAAACUAAAUAUCUGCAGGAAGGACCGGCCACUUUAUUAGGUACACCAAUAAAUCUUAAACAUCAUCAGAGAAACAAACCAAAAGCUUUUUAAACAUUUAAUUUAGGAAACUAGAAACAAGAACUGAGAGAAAAAUAUGAUGAACCAUCGAAUCUGGACAGAAAACGGCUCCACAAACAUUUUACAUUUAUUCAGGUUAUUUAGUUCAUGUAAAAUAAAUAUUGUAUUUUUUCUUUAGGUAAAUCGAGAGCAGAGCUCAUCAGCUGGAUCACAUUAGAUGACUAAAUGGAUCAGAACCUGGUUCCCCUUUAACCAGAACAACAGAUCUGAUCUACAGACGUUAAAUUGUUACAUAGAAAAAAUCAUUUAAAGUAAAAACUGAACAAUAAAUAAACUACAUUCCUGAAUAAACUGCAGUUUGUUCAGUUUCCUUUCCUUCCAGAGUGGAUCUGGUUCAGACACUUUCUGAUCCAGAACCUUUUCCAGGAACCAGGAGAGUUUUACAGGAUAUUUUCCUCAUUAAUCAGGAUGAGAAUAAAUGAGCAGAAAUUUAAAGGCUCUGCAGGAAGAAACUACUUUGUUUUUCACCAGGAACCUCUGGCUGCAGUUUGGAGAGAAACAGGAAAACAAGAUGAACCAGUUUCACUUUGUCAUCAGAUUUAAACAGCACAGCAACCUGAUUUACUUUAACUAGACCAUUUAUAAUCUCUGAGGGCUCCUUCCAGCUGUCUGUGGUUAAAAGAUAAUAAAUCCUUCAUUUACUGUCAUUUUGACUUUAAAAACUUUUUCUGAGGCACAAAAACAUUUAAAGAUUCAAAUAGUUAAAAGUUUAUAAAGUUGGUUGUAGCUCAUUUUUAACAUUUUUAAUUAUUUUUAAAUUCUCUGGGAAAAUUUCACUAAGCAUUAUUAAAAGUUUUAGCUGAACCUGAGAAGCACACAGAACUAUUCAAAGGGCCACAAAUGGCCCCCGCGCCGCAUGUUGAACACCCCUGGUUCCAGGAAGCGGAGGCCGCAGUGCGCAUGCGUCAUCAGGAAUGGCGUCAUCAGGAAUGGCGUCAUCAGGGCGUCGAAGGAUCAAAGGAAACUUUUCUAAACGUUUUUCUGAGCGGAGAAGAAAAACUUUGUAUCCAGAGCAGCGAAAUAUCUGACAAGAAAUCACAUUUCAGCCUCUUCUGGCUACCAGAGACCAUAUCUGGACAGCAGGAGGUUCUGACGAAGGUUCGGUUCUACUGAAGGGUUCGGUUUGUUCGCUCCUCUCCGGUCGGAACCAGUUGGAUAGAAAGUUAGAACUCACCGGACCGA